GCAAACUUGGUCAUUUAGAGGAAGUAAAAGUCGUAACAAGGUUUCCGUAGGUGAACCUGCGGAAGGAUCAUUCACAAUAAGAGUGUUCUAUGGCACUCUUUCAAAAAAUCCAUACCCACCUUGUGUGCAAUGUAAGAAAAAGUGUUCUAACAGGAGUCAAGGAAGGGAGAGUGGUCUCUGGCCAUUCUUUUUUCCCCUCUUGUCGGAGGCUUUUCUAAUUUACAUAAACACCUUUCUAUAUAGUUCCUAUAGUCUGAAGUUUAGUAGAAUUACAUAAUUCUAAAAUACAACUUUCAACAAUGGAUCUCUUGGCUCUCGCAUCGAUGAAGAACGCAGC
rnacentral:misc_RNA from 1 species